UAGGGAAUCUUCCACAAUGGACGAAGGUCUGAUGGAGCAACGCCGCGUGAGUGAAGAAGGUUUUCGGAUCGUAAAGCUCUGUUGUUGGUGAAGAAGGAUAGAGGCAGUAACUGGUCUUUAUUUGACGGUAAUCAACCAGAAAGUCACGGCUAACUACGUACCAG
rnacentral:rRNA from 1 species